GUACACCAUCUUAAGAAGUAUGGAGAACUGACGGCAAUCACACUGAAGAGAACAUCCCCCAACGACUCCCUCCACCAUCAAGCAGAACACAUUAGCGAAGACAGUCUCAAAAAUGUAUCGAAGCGGUGGUGAAGUAUGUGGGCUCCAACCAUUCGCUGUUGUUGAACAAGAACCGUUAAGAGAGUUUGUCCAGGAUCUGCAGCCUAACUCGAAGAUCUUCAAGGCCCACACUACGCUCCAGGAUUGAUGAAGCUACCAAGGAAAUGAAGGUGACUGAGGCCAUGAGAGGAGUUGACCACAUCACCACCACCAACUGAUGGUCUGCAAGAAGACUGAGCUUCAUUGGUGUUACAGCCCAUUGGAUAGACCCUGACAGUCUCAACAGAUGCUCCACAGCCCUGGCCUGUAAAAGAUUCAGAGGAUCACACACCUUUGAUGUGUUGGCAGGCGCCCUAAAUCCAUUCUGAGUUUGAAAUCCGGGUUAAGAUUGUGAGAACAGACAACGGCUAUAAUUCCUUAAACUUUCCGAGUUUUUGUAGAAGAUGAAAACAACGAGACAGUAGAAGCAGUGGGUGGUGAAGCAGCAGCUCAGCCAGGACAGGAAGGGGAACAAGAYGAGAGUGAAGAAGUCGAAUUUGUUGAGGUGGCAACGAUCCUGAAUGACGAUGGUUUUGAGUACCAGCUGCCGAKGCACCAGCGCUGUGCUUGCCACCUGCUCAACUUAGGAUCUACAGUCGAUGCCCUGAAAGCAACAUCUGGUGAGGCUUACAAAAGUGUCCCGUUAAACAUUUGGCAAGUGCCAAGCACUUUGGAACAUGCGGAAGAUCCACGCUUGCAGCCGAAACAGUUGAAGCYACCUCCAAGUGCCAUGRRCGAAUGCUACAAGGUGGAACUCCUGGUUCAUGGCUGUAGAAAUACUCCUGAGGAUCUUCAAAGACAAAGGAUAGGCGGCCGUCAGAGUUCUCUGCACAAUGUUCAAACCAGCUGAACUCGUCUUCCUCACAGAGUUUGCUGCCACCAUGAGCCCAGUCGCAAAGGCCAUCAACAUCCUGCAGGCUGUAACCAAUGUCCAGAUGGGGUGGCUACUUCCAACUAUCCACCAGCUGAUCACAAAACUGGACUGAAUCAAGUUGUCCCUGAAGUACUGUACGCCUCUGGUGGAUGUGCUACAACUGAGACUGAAUCAAGUUGUCCCUGAAGUACUGUAAGUCUCUGGUGGACGCUACAACUGGGACUGAAUCAAGUUGUCCCUGAAGUACUGUAAAUAUCUGGUGGAUGUGCUACAACUGGGACUGAAUCAAGUUGUCCCUGAAGUACUGUAAACAUCUGGUGGAUGUGCUACUACUGGGACUGAAGAAGCACUUCAGCCACAUGUUUCAUGACCGUGAGCUGAUAGCAGCUGCAAUCCUUCUCCCCAAAUUCAACAACGUGGACAAAGGAUGACACCACCAUCAGAAUGGGAAUGGACUACAUCAAGGACCUGGAAGAACCCUUACUGCAGCUAGGUGAUGGUACCAAUUCAUCAGAUGAGGACUUCUUCUCUGCCAUGAAGACGUCUCAAUCACAAYAAAGCUCCAAACAGCUGGACGGGUACCUGGCCUGUUCAGCUGAUCAUAUGGAGUUGCUCAAGUCCUUCUUGGCAGUCUGUAAGCUGUCUCUGAGGUUAAACACACCCUUAGCUGCAUKAGCUGCCUGUGAAAGGCUGUUCAGCAUUGCAGGACUGGUUUUCAGCCCCAAGAAAGCAAGGCUGGAUUCCAGAAACUUUGAAAACCAGCUUUUACUUCAAGUAAUGACAUCUUAACACUAGCACGCCCAAGGACACGGAUGCCUUGUUUGUUUUGUUAAUUUAUGUUUAAAAUUCACAAUUCUAGGUGUCCUUGUUACAAAGCAUGAACCUG